UACGUAGGUGACCAGCGUUGUCCGGAUUUACUUGGCGUAAAGAGCGCGCAGGCGGUCGUUCAAGUCGAGUGUGAAAGCCCCCGGCUCAACUGGGGAGGGUCACUCGAUACUGAUCGACUUGAAGGCAGGAGAGGGAAGCGGAAUUCCCGGUGUAGUGGUGAAAUGCGUAGAUAUCGGGAGGAACACCAGUGGCGAAGGCGGCUUCCUGGCCUGUUCUUGACGCUGAGGCGCGAAAGCUAGGGGAGCAAACGGG
rnacentral:rRNA from 1 species